AGCAGCAUGGCGCAGUUGGAAGCGCGCAGGGCCCAUAUGUAUUCAUGGUCCGAAUCAGAAUCUGACGGAUGUAACUACAUAGGUCACCCUGAGGUCACUUGAUCGAAACAAGUUGCUGCUA